UUUAUGGAGAGUUUGAUCCUGGCUCAGGACGAACGCUGGCGGCGUGCCUAAUACAUGCAAGUCGAGCGAAUGACGAGAAGCUUGCUUCUCUGAUUUAGCGGCGGACGGGUGAGUAACACGUGGGUAACCUGCCUUGUAGACUGGGAUAACUUCGGGAAACCGGAGCUAAUACCGGAUAAUUCUUUUAGUCACAUGACUUUAAGCUAAAAGGCGCUUCGGCGUCACUACGAGAUGG
rnacentral:rRNA from 1 species